rnacentral:rRNA from 1 species
UACAGAGGUCUCAAGCGUUGUUCGGAUUCAUUGGGCGUAAAGGGCGCGUAGGCGGCGGGGUAAGUCGGGUGUGAAAUCUCAGAGCUCAACUCUGAAAUGGCACUUGAUACUGCUCUGCUAGAGGAGUGGAGAGGAGAUUGGAAUUCACGGUGUAGCAGUGAAAUGCGUAGAUAUCGUGAGGAAGACCGGUGGCGAAGGCGGAUCUCUGGACAGUUCCUGACGCUGAGGCGCGAAGGCCAGGGGAGCAAAACGGGG